CAGUAGCCGCGGUAAAACCGAGGAUGCAAGCGUUAUCCGGAAUGAUUGGGCGUAAAGCGAGCGCAGGCGGUUAGAUAAGUCUGAAGUUAAAGGCUGUGGCUUAACCAUAGUACGCUUUGGAAACUGUUUAACUUGAGUGCAAGAGGGGAGAGUGGAAUUCCAUGUGUAGCGGUGAAAUGCGUAGAUAUAUGGAGGAACACCGGUGGCGAAAGCGGCUCUCUGGCCUGUAACUGACGCUGAGGCUCGAAAGCGUGGGGAGCAAACAGGAUUAGAGACCCCCGUAGUCCCUGUCUCUUAUACC
rnacentral:rRNA from 1 species